AGAGUUUGAUUAUGGCUCAGGAUGAACGCUAGCUACAGGCUUAACACAUGCAAGUCGAGGGGUAGCAGGGUAGCAAUACCGCUGACGACCGGCGCACGGGUGAGUAGCACGUAUCCAACCUUCCCAUAACUCAGGGAUAGCCUUUCGAAAGAAAGAUUAAUACCUGAUAGUACUUUUUCAAGGCAUCUUGAAAAAGUUAAAGAUUUAUUGGUUAUGGAUGGGGAUGCGUUCCAUUAGAUAGUUGGUGAGGUAACGGCUCACCAAGUCUUCGAUGGAUAGGGGUUCUGAGAGGAAGGUCCCCCACAUUGGUACUGAGACACGGACCAAACUCCUACGGGAGGCAGCAGUGGGGAAUAUUGGUCAAUGGGCGAGAGCCUGAACCAGCCAAGUAGCGUGAAGGAAUGAAGGUCCUAUGGAUUGUAAACUUCUUUUAUAGUAGAAUAAAGUGAGCCACGUGUGGUUUUUUGUAUGUAUACUAUGAAUAAGGAUCGGCUAACUCCGUGCCAGCAGCCGC
rnacentral:rRNA from 1 species